rnacentral:rRNA from 1 species
CCUACGGGCGGCAGCAGUGGGGAAUAUUGGACAAUGGGGGAAACCCUGAUCCAGCGACGCCGCGUGAGUGAAGAAGUAUUUCGGUACGUAAAGCUCUAUCAGCAGGAAAGAAAAUGACGGUACCUGACUACGAAGCCCCGGCUAACUACGUGCCAGCAGCCGCGGUACUACGUAGGGGGCAAGCGUUAUCCGGAUUUACUGGGUGUAAAGGGAGCGUAGACGGCAGCGCAAGUCUGGAGUGAAAUGCCGGGGCCCAACCCCGGAACUGCUCUGGAAACUGUGAAGCUGGAGUGCAGGAGAGGUAAGCGGAAUUCCUGGUGUAGCGGUGAAAUGCGUAGAUAUCAGGAGGAACACCGGCGGCGAAGGCGGCUUACUGGACUGUAACUGACGUUGAGGCUCGAAGGCGUGGGGAGCAAACAGGAUUAGAUACCCCAGUAGUC